CCCUGGCUCAGGACGAACGCUGGCGGCAUGCCUAAUACAUGCAAGUCGAGCGGAGUUCUGUUGAAAGCUUGCUUUCAACAGGAUUUAGCGGCGGACGGGUGAGUAACACGUAGGCAACCUGCCCCAUAGCCUGGGAUAACUACCGGAAACGGUAGCUAAUACCGGAUAAUUCCUUUCCCCUCCUGGGGAGAGGAUGAAAGACGGAGCAAUCUGUCGCUGAGGGAUGGGCCUGCGGCGCAUUAGCUAGUUGGUGGGGUAAUGGCUCACCAAGGCGACGAUGCGUAGCCGACCUGAGAGGGUGAACGGCCACACUGGGACUGAGACACGGCCCAGACUCCUACGGGAGGCAGCAGUAGGGAAUCUUCCGCAAUGGGCGCAAGCCUGACGGAGCAAUGCCGCGUGAGUGAUGAAGGUUUUCGGAUCGUAAAGCUCUGUUGCCAGGGAAGAACGUCUUAUAGAGUAACUGCUAUAAGAGUGACCGGUACCUGAGAAGAAAGCCCCGGCUAACUA
rnacentral:rRNA from 1 species